CGUUGGUGCCUCCGCGACGAUAGGUCGUAAAUUCCGCCAGGCCCGGAAGGGAGCAACGGUAGCGACUGAUUCGGGCGCCGGAGAUCCGCUGGCGGGG
rnacentral:SRP_RNA from 2 species